GCAUCCAUGGUCCAGCGGUAGGAUAAUUGCCUUCCAUCUAGCGCUUGCUAGGUUUUCUUGCGUAAGCAAUUGGCACGGGUUCGACUCCCGUUGGAUGCA